CACUGUUUCUACAAUGAUUGUUUUGCUGUCCUCACCAUUAACCAUUUCUUUCUCUGAAUGCAAGUAAAUGUCAUAAUAUUCAUCUUCAAAAUGUAAGGAAAUACUGUUUGUUAAAUUACAUAAAUUACUAGAUUUCACAGUUCAAAACAUUGGGUCUUGCAGCUCAGUAUAAUUUAAGCCAUGAACUAUUCCCACUGCUCUCUAGUGAAUUAUGAAACAUAUCAAUCCCCAUUACUUCGAAGAAAAGAAAUAAUAAUAUGGAAGAUUAGUUUUAACCUGGUCCCACUGAGUAUGAGCUGGGAUUAAAGAGUUUAAUGUGUAUCUUUGAUUUCAACCCGUUUGAAAUGAAUCCAGUUCGUGCACAUCAAGACAGCUUCACAAUGUGAAUCCGAGCAGAGUGAGGGGAGUUCCACGUUAGGAACACGUGCUGGAUUGAAACUGACAAAUUACUGCAGUUGCAUCUUCAGCUCAUCUGAAGGGAUUCAGUGCUUUUGAUGAACUUCCUCCACUGAUUACCAACAAUUGGAGACAUAGUAGCUAGAUAAGGCACCUUAAGUUGUGCAUUAUGAGUACUCACCUGCAUCACUGCCCUAUUCUCAUUGCCUGUCUCUUCCUCGUAAUAGAGACAGCUAGAAUGACAGCUUAAAGGCGUGCCUUGUAGCUCUUCUUAUCUCUUAGUAAUAGCUUGAAGGUGUGCCCUGGAUCAUUUCUUAACUCUGAAACACUGUUAGCUGUCACCAGAACAGUUCAGCUGUUUCCCUGCUUCCUUG
ensembl:lncRNA